CAUCAUCGCCGACAAAUAUCGAUAGAGAAAAAUAGAUGGUGCCGUAACUAUAAUACAUUACAAUCGAAGAUAACUAGUUUUUAACCCGUGCAAUGCACAUAUACCUUAGUUUAAAAUUCUGCUCAUAUUGUCUACUACAUAUAUAGUAUAGGAAAUGAUAAUUUUUUUUGAAACAAUAGAAGAUGAUGCAUUUGGAGUGUGUCAAAAUUGAAAUUGGAAUGUGAAACAAAAAAAUAAUUGUAUGAGAAAAGACUUAAGGAUAAAAAAAGGUGAGAAAAUGAUAUGCCAAGAAGGAAAUAAAAGCUGGAUUUUACAGAAAUAAUAAAAAAUUAGUGCGAUGACACGUGGCGUCAUUGUGUUCAAACCUUUAUAUUUUAAAAUAUUAGUAUAGAUACAGAUUAGUCGAUUUUUUUUAAGUCUUGGUCACUCCUGGCCCCCCGCCAUUAGUUUUGGUCGUGUGUGGUGACUCCCUCCGCCACUAGUCUUGAUCGUGUGUGAUGGUUGUUUUUAUUCUCCCUCUUUUGUGGAACCUCCAUUGUCCGCAACAUUUUACAAACACAUUUUUGUAGUGUGGUGACUCCCUCUACCGCUAGUCUUGGUCUCAUGUGGUGGUUGUUUUAUUCUCCCUCUUUUAUGGCACCUCCAUUUCCCGCAACAUUUUACAAACACGACUUUGUAAAUUGUAACUCCUUCGUUUUCUUGACUAUUUGUUUCGUGUGUGGUGGUUGUUUUAUUCUCCCUCUUCUGUGGCACCCCUCAUUGUCCGCAACAUUUUACAAACACGUCUUUGUAAAUUGUAACUCCUACGUUUUCUUGACUUUUUGUUUAUAUGUUCAUGGCACACUACCUGUUUGAAGUCUGACAAAAUGUCUCAUUGCUGUCUUAUACGGAGUAUAAGUUAUAUGUUUGAUGUUUGAUCAAGUAUAUCAAUAGUCAUUGCUUUCAACUUAUCAGCACUUUUAUUUUUGAUGCAAAUUACAACUCUUAAGUUGUUGAUAACCUGAUAUAGUUGACAUGAGUCUAAGUUUAAUAACCAUAAAAUUUCUGUGUGCAGAGGAAGUAAGAUAAACAAUGAAGAAAUGCUGAGCUAUAUGUAUGAAUCUUUGAAAAGGAUUGAGGAUAUAUGAGAUACUUUUCUUCCUAUUUAUCUAUGUACUAUGCGUACUUCGCUGCUAAACGUUGCUGCUAUAACUCUAUCGUCAUUAACAUUGUCCAUAAAAGGAAGUUUUAUCCCACACUGUUAUUUUAGAAAACAAUAUACAGCUUUAUAAUCUUCAGAGUAGAGGGUACAUAGCACGACCUUACUUGAACAGGAUCUGUUCUAUAGUAUUCGUACCUCUGUAUCUUUGAGUUCUAAAGAGUCAGAAAACCAAGUCUGGUGGAUGAAUCAUGACCGUACGAUCUGAGCGUGAUUAACGGCUACCAUUGAUCUACUGGUCUCUGGCGCUGUAGAUGAUCGUUCCUCAGUUCCUUGUGGGCUUGAGGAAGAUCGUACGGUUGUCUGACAGACUUCAAAUCUUUUUAAAUUUUACUUUAGGAUCUUUUUACUUUAACAUAAUUCUUGACAAAUUUUAUUGAAACAUUGAACUGGAACUUUGCUUGUGUUUUUUUUUUUUUGGUUGAAAAAAGAUGAAUGGGAAAUUUGGAGGUGGGAAGCUGCCAACCGGAACGCCGUCCAUGGCAAGGUCGACUGUGGUUGUUGUUCUCUCUCUUCUGGGUGGCGCCUCCAUUGUCCAUAACAUAUACAAGCCUGACCUUACUUUGCCAUCUCCGGAAGAAGUGAGCGAGGAUAAGCAGAAUGAGAAGCAGUGAUUCUAUCUAGCUUUCUGUCUUUCGAUCCUCUUGUAAGUUUGAUUUGAGCAAUGAAAAAUGCUAUCAGAAACUUUGUUUUCGAGCUAAAUAAACGAAUCUUUGAAUGAAAUUAAGGAUAUGAAGUAUACCUUUUCUUUG